rnacentral:lncRNA from 1 species
GACACUUCACCACAUGGUCCUCUGUUUUUUUUCUGGCAAUGUAGCUAUGAAAUACCUAAUCCAGAAACAGUAUCUGAUUAAACAAACGAAAUCCUUUCUGGGAAACCAGGUUCCCACUUGUUCUAGGAAAUUGCACAUUGGUUUUGAUAAAGAAUUGAUUUUUAGAUAUUCAAACGUAUCCAAAAACAGAGUAACUCAAUCAAUCUGCAGACCUGUGCAGACUAUGGUUUCCUUUUUAAUAAAACUUCUUAAGAGAUGAACGAACCAGGGGAAGUUAUUUACAUGGAAACGGAACGAAUUAAUCAAUUCAGAUGGGUGUUUAAUCGAUGAUUAUAACUAUCAACUAGCUGAGCUAUUAGCUAAACCUUAUUAGUAAGGAUGAACGUUCUUGCUCAAUCCAUUAACGCU